rnacentral:tRNA from 1 species
GCCUUCGUGGUAUAGCGGUCAGCACGCUGGGCGCGUAUUCCAAAGGUCCCGUGGUUCGAGUCCCGGCAAAGGUG